rnacentral:rRNA from 1 species
CCUACGUGAGGCAGCAGUGGGGGAUAUUGCACAAUGGGGGAAACCCUGAUGCAGCGACGCCGCGUGUGGGAAGACGGUCCUCUGGAUUGUAAACCACUGUCCCCAGGGACGAAGAUGACGGUACCUGGGGAGGAAGCUCCGGCUAACUACGUGCCAGCAGCCGCGGUAAUACGUAGGGAGCGAGCGUUGUCCGGAAUUACUGGGUGUAAAGGGAGCGUAGGCGGGACUGCAAGUUGGGUGUCAAAUCUACCGGCUCAACCGGUAGCCGCACUCAAAACUGCAGUUCUUGAGUGAAGUAGAGCCAGGCGGAAUUCCUAGUGUAGCGGUGAAAUGCGUAGAUAUUAGGAGGAACACCAGUGGCGAAGGCGGCCUGCUGGGCUUUUACUGACGCUGAGGCUCGAAAGUGUGGGGAGCAAACAGGAUUAGAUACCCCAGUAGUC